rnacentral:ncRNA from 1 species
UACCUUUGUAAUCCUUCGAUGAGGCGAAGGAGCAUCCACCCCCGGGCCUGUGAAUCCGGGGUGACCAGGGGAA